rnacentral:rRNA from 1 species
ACGGAAGGCAGCAGUGGGGAAUAUUGCGCGAUGGGGGAAACCCUGACGCAGCAAUACCGCGUGAGUGAAGAAGGUUUUCGGAUCGUAAAACUCUUUUAUUGGGGAAGAAAAUGACGGUACCCAAUGAAGAAGUCCCGGCUAACUACGUGCCAGCAGCCGCGGUAAUACGUAGGGGACAAGCGUUGUCCGGAAUGACUGGGCGUAAAGGGCGCGUAGGCGGGAUGUUAAGUCUGAUGUGAAAGGUUACGGCUCAACCGUAGACAUGCAUUGGAAACUGGCAUUCUUGAGUACUGGAGAGGCAAGUGGAAUUCCUAGUGUAGCGGUGAAAUGCGUAGAUAUUAGGAAGAACACCAGUGGCGAAGGCGGUUAGCUGGACAAUAACUGACGCUGAGGCGCGAAAGCGUGGGUAGCAAACAGGAUUAGAUACCCUGGUA